UAGCGAGGUGCCAGGAGCGGCGUUAAGAGGUGGGGGGGGAGGGUUGUCCGGAAUUACUGGGCGGAAAGAGCGCGUGGGUGGUUUGUCGCGUCGUCUGUGAAAUUCCGGGGCUUAAAGCCGGGCGGGCAGGCGAUACGGGCAUAACUUGAGUGCUGUAGGGGAGACUGGAAUUCCUGGUGUAGCGGUGAAAUGCGCAGAUAUCAGGAGGAACACCGAUGGCGAAGGCAGGUCUCUGGGCAGUAACUGACGCUGAGGAGCGAAAGCAUGGGUAGCGAACAGGAUUAGAUUACCCGGGUAGUC
rnacentral:rRNA from 1 species